AGUGAACGCUGGCGGUAGGCCUAACACAUGCAAGUCGAACGGCAGCACAGUAAGAGCUUGCUCUUACGGGUGGCGAGUGGCGGACGGGCGAGGAAUACAUCGGAAUCUACUUUUUCGUGGGGGAUAACGUAGGGAAACUUACGCUAAUACCGCAUACGACCUACGGGUGAAAGCAGGGGAUCUUCGGACCUUGCGCGAUUGAAUGAGCCGAUGUCGGAUUAGCUAGUUGGCGGGGUAAAGGCCCACCAAGGCGACGAUCCGUAGCUGGUCUGAGAGGAUGAUCAGCCACACUGGAACUGAGACACGGUCCAGACUCCUACGGGAGGCAGCAGUGGGGAAUAUUGGACAAUGGGCGCAAGCCUGAUCCAGCCAUACCGCGGGGGUGAAGAAGGCCUUCGGGUUGUAAAGCCCUUUUGUUGGGAAAGAAAAGCAGCAGGUUAAUACCCCGCUGUUCUGACGGUACCCAAAGAAUAAGCACCGGCUAACUUUGUG
rnacentral:rRNA from 1 species